AGUGUUUACUUCGCCUCCACUUCUGUUCCUCCCCGCCCUGGUGCUGCUCCAGGUCACAUACUCUUCCUGAGCCGGCUUCAGCCUCUCCGCGCAGAAGUCUCCCGGAGCCAUGGCCUAGUAUUCUUAUGUGAAGUCUACCAAGCUUGUGCUCAAGGGAACCGAGGUGAAGAGCUGGGUCCUGCAGCUCCGGCGGGAGCCUCCUCAGUUCUUUUCGGACGCACUCCACCCCCGCGAAUCCGGUGGAAGCCGUGAUGCGGAGAGCCGGCUUCGUGGCCUCCCAGGCUUCGCUCUGACCCUGUCUGGGCUGGAUGGAGGCCGGACCGCCCUUCCUGGCGCCUGUGCAGAGAGGGGCAGCCUCCUGCGCGGACGACCCUGGAAACAGGAUAGACGGGCGGGUGACCCGUGACCCCGUACCCACGAGUUUGGGUCCCUUGAGGCAUCUCUCCAGGCCUCUGCCUGAUUUGCCUGAGGUUGACUGUACAUGCAAAUAUUGAGCUUUCCUCCUGGCCUCCGUGAUAAACAGAAGUUUUGAUAUUGUUAGGCGAGAUGGAAAGAAAGUAUCAAGGAGUGAGCUGAAGCCACUGCCCUUGAGAACCCUCUCGAGGAGUCUGGCCUCAUGAAGAUGCCAGAAUAAAUGGCAGAGCUAAGAAGUGACAGAAUCGGGAUUUAAAAUCUGGCGGUGUGGCUCUACAAUCUGCUUUGAACUUUAACAUAAUAUGUACAAAGCCUGAAGCAAAUUCUCAGUACUGUAUUUAAGAGGGCAUAGCAAUUAAGAAGAAAAAGAGCAAAGAUAAGAAGAGAAAAAGAGAAGAUGAAGAAACCCAGCUUGAUAUGUUGAGGAACGCAGCUGCUCACCAGCAACGGAACAAAGCUGGACGGAGAAUGACUUUGAAGAGCUGAGAGAAGGCUUCAGACGAUCAAAUUACUCUGAGCUACGGGAGGACAUUCAAACCAAAGGCAAAGAAGUUGAAAACUUUGAAAAAAAUAAAUGUACAUUAAUUAACGUGGAAUCUGGUGAACAGUAACAAACUUUGGUGAAAUUUCAGGAACCAUAGCCAUUGAAGUGGAUGAGGGAACCUAUAUACAUGCACUCAACAAUGGUCUUUUUACCCUGGGAGCUCCACACAAAGAAGAAUCGCCCUGAAACCUGGCUAUGGAAAAUAUCUUAGUAUAAAUUCAGAUGAACUUGUUGUUGGCGUUCAGAUGCAAUUGGACCAAGAGAACAAUGGGAACCAGUCUUUCAAAAUGAUGGCCAUCCAGUAAUGAGAAUGAACAGUCUCCAACUAAAGGCAACAAUAUAGAUGAAUCUCGGAAACAUGAUAUUGACCAGACAGAAAAGAUUCCACUUACAUAAACUUCAAAAGAAGAUAAAACUGAUCUAUGACAUUAAUAGUCAGAAUAUUCAUUAUCCUUGAGGGAACUAAACUGGGAAGCCACAUGAUAGGGCAUCUGGAAGCUAGUAAUGUCCUCUUUCUUGAUCUGUUACAUUGGUGUGUUUAUUUCAUUAGAUUUAUUGAGCUAUACAUUUACCACCGUGUACUUGUCUCUGUAUAUGUUUUGCAUUGAAAUAAAUUUUACCAAUAAAAUGAUAAAGCAAAAU
rnacentral:lncRNA from 1 species